CCUGGUGGCUCAGAGGGUAAAGCGUCUGCCUGCAAUGUGGGAGACCUGGGUUCAAUCCCUGCGUCAGGA
rnacentral:tRNA from 1 species